CCCCAGAGGGAGCUCAGAAAGCCCAGACCCCACGGCCCGCCCCUCUCCCUGCUCUGAGCUGGAGGCAGAGUCCGGGUCUGCGGGGCCGGCCCUCCCUGUAUCCCUGUGAGAGGGUCGGGGACCCGGGGCGUCUGUCUGGCUUCCCCCAGCCCUGCUCUCAGCUCCCUGGGAGCGCAGGAUUUGGACUCGCGGACUAGCUUUCGGAGCCACCUAAAGGAAAUCUCAGGCGGCCCUAGUGCCCUCAGCUCCGUGGGAGCAGCAGAGACGCCAGAGUAUCUCUGUCCGGGCUCCUGAGGGAGGAGAGAGGGCAGCGGCUAGUCAGCCUUCGGAGAGCCCCACGGCGGCAGGGGAGACCUCGCCGGGGCCGUCACCUGCUGGGUGCCUUGGAAAGUUAGGGUCACCGGGAAGGUUAGGGUCACGUGCCUUUCAGGUUGCGGGCCCUUCCCCCACAUCCAUGACC
ensembl:lncRNA SLC9A3-AS1 SLC9A3 antisense RNA 1